UGUAGGGUAUUUAUAAAGAAGAAAGGGAGGAACAAUGUUACUGUGGAUGACCUUGUACAUGUAAUUACCCCUAAGGGCAGAGCAUCUAUUCCUGAUUCCAUAAAGGCUGAGCUGUUGCAAAGAAUUCGUGCUUUUCUUGUUCAAGCUGCUGUUUGAUACACUAGCUAUGAGUCAUGAGUGUUGUGGAGUAGUAAGAAACUCAGAACCAUUAAUAGUAUGGAUGCAUAGUUUAGUGUCAUUGCCGCAAGUUAUCUUGAGAGAGUAGAGGUAACUUGAUUUACCUUAGUGGUAUUGCACGUUGCAAAACCAAGGAAUGAAAAAUCAUACGGCCAAAGCAGGAGAGAAGUUUCAUCAGUUUAUUCCUUUUACUUAUAAAUUUGAAAAUUAAGUUUGCCAUAAUUAUUAUGUAAUGUUUCUCAACACACCUACUUCCAUUCCUGUAACUGCUCUGUUCUGGUUUGUUACCAAUUUCAGCUGCCGGCUCUAUAAUGAUUCUUUGCUUAC